GAUGAACGCUGGCGGCGUGCCUAAUACAUGCCAGUCGAGCGAACAGACGAGGAGCUUGUUCCUUAGACGUUAGCGGCGGACGGGUGAGUAGCACGUAGGUAACCUACCUAUAAGACUGGGAUAACUUCGAGAAACCGGAGAUAAUACCGGAUAAUAUUUCGAACCGCAUGGUUCGAUAGUGAAAGAUGGCUUUGCUAUCACUUAUAGAUGGACCUGCGCCGUAUUAGCUAGUUGGUAAGGUAACGGUUUACCAAGGCAACGAUACGUAGCCGACCUGAGAGGGUGAUCGGCCACACUGGAACUGAGACACGGUCCAGACUCCUACGGGAGGCAGCAGUAGGGAAUCUUCCGCAAUGGGCGAAAGCCUGACGGAGCAACGCCGCGUGAGUGAUGAAGGUCUUCGGAUCGUAAAACUCUGUUAUUAGGGAAGAACAAACGUGUAAGUAACUGUGCACGUCUUGACGGUACCUAAUCAGAAAGCCACGGCUAACUACGUG
rnacentral:rRNA from 1 species